AUUGAACGCUGGCGGCAUGCCUUACACAUGCAAGUCGAACGGCAGCACGGGCGCUUGCACCUGGUGGCGAGUGGCGAACGGGUGAGUAAUACAUCGGAACGUACCUUAUCGUGGGGGAUAACGCAGCGAAAGCUGUGCCAAUACCGCAUACGCCCUGAGGGGGAAAGCGGGGGAUCGAAAGACCUCGCGCGAUUAGAGCGGCCGAUGCCUGAUUAGCUUGUUGGUGGGGUAAAAGCCCACCAAGGCGACGAUCAGUAGCUGGUCUGAGAGGACGAUCGGCCACACUGGGACGGAGACACGGCCCAGACUCCUACGGGAGGCAGCAGUGGGGAAUUUUGGACAAUGGGGGAAACCCUGAUCCAGCAAUGCCGCGUGAGUGAAGAAGGCCUUCGGGUUGUAAAGCUCUUUUGUCAGGGAAGAAACACCGGCUCUAACACAGUCCGGGAAUGACGGUACCUGAAGAAUAAGCACCGGCUAACUACGUGCCAGCAGCCGCCGUAA
rnacentral:rRNA from 1 species